GGCUCGCGUCCCCCGUGAUCGAGAAGGCGCGCUCGGCGCUGCUGCCGUCGCAGGAUGUAGAGGACACAGUGGAGACGCUCAUGUUACAUCCAGUGAUUAAGGCUUUCCUCUGCGGCUCCAUCAGCGGAACCUGUUCCACGCUCCUCUUCCAGCCUCUGGACCUCCUCAAAACCCGCCUGCAGACCCUGCAGCCCUCAGACGUAGGGUAGGCAUUGCCCUGCUUCGUGGAGGAGCCAGGAUUAAAUUACUUCCUUACAUUAGAGAAACACAA
rnacentral:lncRNA from 1 species